rnacentral:rRNA from 1 species
GAUGAACGCUGGCGGCGUGCUUAACACAUGCAAGUCGAACGGAAAGGCUCCUGCUUGCAGGGGUACUCGAGUGGCGAACGGGUGAGUAACACGUGGGUGAUCUGCCCUGCACUUCGGGAUAAGCCUGGGAAACUGGGUCUAAUACCGGAUAGGACGAUGGUUUGGAUGCCAUUGUGGAAAGUUUUUCGGUGUGGGAUGAGCUCGCGGCCUAUCAGCUUGUUGGUGGGGUAAUGGCCUACCAAGGCGUCGACGGGUAGCCGGCCUGGGAGGGUGUACGGCCACAUUGGGACUGAGAUACGGCCCAGACUCCUACGGGAGGCAGCAGUGGGGAAUAUUGCACAAUGGGCGCAAGCCUGAUGCAGCGACGCCGCGUGGGGGAUGACGGCCUUCGGGUUGGAAACUCCUUUCGCUAGGGACGAAGCGCAAGUGACGGUACCUGGAGAAGAAGCACCGGCUAACUACGUGC